GGGUGCUCUGGUUGCUGCUGGUUUUGUUGCUGUUGCUGGGCCUGGUUUUGCUCUGGUGGUUCUGGCCUCUCUGCUGCACUGUGGUCAUCAGAGACCCACCUCCCUCUCGGCCCCCUCCUCCACCUCCUGUGACUGAGCCAGAAGAAGACCCUUUGCCCAAACACAGGUGGCCUACAGUGGAUG